rnacentral:rRNA from 1 species
CCUACGGGAGGCAGCAGUGAGGAAUAUUGGGCAAUGGACGAGAGUCUGAACCAGCCAAGUAGCGUGAAGGAUGACUGCCCUAUGGGUUGUAAACUUCUUUUAUAUGGGAAUAAAAUGUUCCACGUGUGGGAUUUUGUAUGUACCAUAUGAAUAAGGAUCGGCUAACUCCGUACCAGCAGCCGCGGUAAUACGGAGGAGCCGAGCGUUAUCCGGAUUUAUUGGGUUUAAAGGGAGCGUAGGUGGAUUGUUAAGUCAGUUGUGAAAGUUUGCGGCUCAACCGUAAAAUUGCAGUUGAAACUGGCAGUCUUGAGUACAGUAGAGGUGGGCGGAAUUCGUGGUGUAGCGGUGAAAUGCUUAGAUAUCACGAAGAACUCCGAUUGCGAAGGCAGCUUACUGGACUGCAACUGACACUGAGGCUCGAAAGUGUGGGUAUCAAACAGGAUUAGAUACCCGUGUAGUC